UACGUAGGGCGCAAGCGUUGUCCGGAAUUAUUGGGCGUAAAGAGCUCGUAGGCGGCCUGUUGCGUCCGCUGUGAAAUCCCGGGGCUCAACCCCGGGCCUGCAGUGGAUACGGGCUGGCUAGAGGCAGGCAGGGGAGAACGGAAUUCCUGGUGUAGCGGUGAAAUGCGCAGAUAUCAGGAGGAACACCGGUGGCGAAGGCGGUUCUCUGGGCCUGUACUGACGCUGAGGCACGAAAGCGUGGGGAGCAAACAGG
rnacentral:rRNA from 1 species